UGGGGAAUUUUGGACAAUGGGCGAAAGCCUGAUCCAGCAAUGCCGCGUGUGUGAAGAAGGCCUUCGGGUUGUAAAGCACUUUUGUCCGGAAAGAAAUCCUUGGCUCUAAUACAGUCGGGGGAUGACGGUACCGGAAGAAUAAGCACCGGCUAACUACGUGCCAGCAGCGCGGUAAUACGUAGGGUGCAAGCGUUAAUCGGAAUUACUGGGCGUAAAGCGUGCGCAGGCAGCUUGGCUUGCAUAAGACCCGAUGUGAAAAUCCCCGGGGCUCAACCUGGGAACUGCAUUGGUGACUGGCAGGCUAGAGUAUGGCAGAGGGGGGUAGAAUUCCACGUGUAGCAGUGAAAUGCGUAGAGAUGUGGAGGAAUACCGAUGGCGAAGGCAGCCCCCUGGGCCAAAUACUGACGCUCAUGCACGAAAGCGUGGGGGAGCAAAACAGGAUUAGAUACCCUGGUAGUCCACGCCCUAAACGAUGUCAACUAGUUGUUGGGGAUUCAUUUCCUUAGUAACGUAGCUAACGCGUGAAGUUGACCGCCUGGGGAGUACGGUCGCAAGAUUAAAACUCAAAGGAAUUGACGGGGUCAUAGCUG
rnacentral:rRNA from 1 species